rnacentral:rRNA from 1 species
GACGAACGCUGGCGGCGUGCUUAACACAUGCAAGUCGAACGCGCCUGUCCUCUGGGUUUCUGGGGGGUGGGUGAGUGGCGAACGGGUGAGUAACACUUGAGUAACCUGCCCCCUUCUUCGGGAUAACGGUCUGAAAGGGCUGCUAAUACCGGGUAUUCACUGGUCUCCGCAUGGGGUCUGGUGGAAAGGUUUUUUUCUGGUGGGGGAUGGGCUCGCGGCCUAUCAGCUUGUUGGUGGGGUGAUGGCCCACCAAGGCUUUGACGGGUAGCCGGCCUGAGAGGGUGACCGGUCACAUUGGGACUGAGAUACGGCCCAGACUCCUACGGGAGGCAGCAGUGGGGAAUAUUGCACAAUGGGCGCAAGCCUGAUGCAGCGACGCCGCGUGAGGGAUGGAGGCCUUCGGGUUGUGAACCUCUUUCGCCCGUGGUCAAGCCGCGACGUGGGUCGUGGUGAGGGUAGUGGGUAAAGAAGCGCCGGCUAACUACGUG